rnacentral:rRNA from 1 species
GACGAACGCUGGCGGCGUGCUUAACACAUGCAAGUCGAGCGGAGCGGCGAACGGGUGAGUAACGCGUGAGUAAUUGCCCCCCUCUCUGGGAUAACAGUUGGAAACGGCUGCUAAUACCGGAUAGUGGGGGAUGACUCGCGUCCUAUUCGCUUGUUGGGGUGGUAGUGGCCUACCAAGGCGGUGACGGGUAGCCGGCCUGAGAGGGUGACCGGCCACAUUGGGCUGGUAGACGGCCCAGACUCCGACGGGAGGCAGCAGUGGGGGAUAUUGCACAAUGGGCGAAAGCCUGAUGCAGCGACGCCGCGUGGGGGAUGAAGGCUUUCGGGUUGUAAACCUCUUUCGCUAUCGAAAGGGUAGGUGGAGAAGAAGCGCCGGCUAACUACGUGCCAGCAGCCGCGGUAAUAC